AACCAUAGAAACCUGCGGAGUACCUGCGGAAGGAUCAUUACAGAGUUGCAAAACUCCCUAAACCAUUGUGAACGUUACCUAAACCGUUGCUUCGGCGGGCGGCCCGGGUCCUUCCCGGCGCCCAUCGGCCCUCGCGGGCGCCCGCCGGAGGUAAACCAAACUAUUGCAUUGUAUGGCCUCUCUGAGUCUUCUGUACUGAAUAAGUCAAACUUUUAACAACGGAUCUCAGAUCGGAAGAGC
rnacentral:misc_RNA from 1 species